CUGAACUAAAAUUAACUCAAAGCAGUAACUUAGAACUCUGGUUUACUGGUAGUCUCCUCUUUAUCCUUGGGGGAUGCAGUUCAAGACCUCAGUGGAUGCCUGAAACCACAGUUGUGAGACUACACAGAAUGGAACUUCCUGGCAAAAGCUUUCUUGUUAGGACUGCACUGUAGGAACUGCUCCCCUGACAUCUAGCAGUUAUAGUGGUAAAAGAGAGACCUGCAGUGAGUACAACCAUUUUUCUAUUCUUCCCCUGACUAACAUGAUUUUUUCUGGGUGAUUAUAAUAUUAAUGUUUUAAUACUGCAGUUGCAUAAUGUCAUACUGUACAUUUUACAUAUAGUCAAUGUUUAUUAAAUAUUC
rnacentral:lncRNA from 1 species